ACACACACACUUAUAGUCUAUCUUAGAAAUUAUAAUGUUCACGAGCUAGUCAGUACCCCAUUAUUUACACAUAGGCACUUGCUCGUUUUAUUACAAUACAUUCAUUCAGCAACAUUCAUAAAGAGCUCAACGUAAGAAUUCAACCCCAUUAUUCACACAUAGGCACUUGCUCAACAUAUAAUAAAGUGACAUAGUCUUUUAAACUUAAGUGGGAUUGUGUAGGCGUCGUCAUCGUCCCCAUACAUGACAUCGGUAACUCGAACAAGGUUAACAAUAUGUUGAAGGAGAAGCAUUGGAGCAUUAGUUGGCCUCAUGCAAUCUUCAUUGAUGUCCUUCCAUCCAUUUGCGACCAUAUUUUGUAUCUCUUCAAUUGCUUUCUUCUCCGAUGCAUCAUAUUGUUUCAUGUAGCAUUCAACACCGGAUGCACAGUCUCCCCUCUUUUGUUCAUCC
rnacentral:lncRNA from 1 species